rnacentral:tRNA from 1 species
GGGCUCGUAGCCUAGCGGUUAUGGCAUCACCCUUACAAGGUGGGGGUCGUCGGUUCGAAUCCGACCGGGCCCAC